GCCACCAUCUCUGCUCCUUUUCUGGCCUCCCUUGUGACCCACACAGCUGUCCUACAGAUUGUGGAAGAAUGUGGGGUCUCUACCUGCGGUCCUCUGCUGUGGAGAAGCCCUUCCUGCUGGAGACGAUGCCAGGAUCUCAGGACACAACCUGACUGCGAUGCCUGAAGUUGUACAGGGGACACAAAUGGGAGAACGGACAAUUCUUCGGAGAUGCCACGUAAGGCAAUGAGGGCUGCUGGGUCACCAUGUCUACAACACGUCAUCAGACGUUUCAAAUACAGGUGGGUGGAUGGAGACGAGGGCAAAAGGGCAGCAGUUGUUGCGUCUGGAUGGAGGCUUCACAAGUGGUUGUAUGUAUGUUCUUUCCGUUGUUGUCUAUGUUUGGAAAUUGUCGAGUAAAAAGGUGGGGAAAACACUACCUGGGUAAGGUAAGACGAACAGCUGCCCUCUCGUGGCUGGUAGUUUUGGGCUCUAGCCGAGGACUUGUGCCUCAAGGUGCAGUGUUUCCCCUAUACUUCGGGGUUCUUUAAAACUUGGGCAUAGUGGCUGUUCACGACAGGUUUCCAUUUUCUGCUCUCUGCCCUGGGGCCACCUCUGUGCCUCUCACUGGCUUCAUCCUCGGCCGGUUGGACCUUCUGAGGAGCCACCAGACCCUGCCCUGGCUGCCAUGGCAACAGAGGAGCAGCCCCUGGAGGAACAUGAAAGAGAAUGGAGAGCCUCUUAUUUUUAAGAUUUCUAGACAUCCGUGGGCUCUGGCAGCGUGGCCAGAGGCAGGUCAGAACAUUCCCCGGGCCAGCAAGCUGUGACCGCCACGGGGCAAACCCAACUGGGACGGAGGCCUGGGCAGGCACCUUCCUGGGGUAUUGGGGCAGGAGCAAGCAGAAAGCCCUAUCUUCACCCACUGCACCCCGUGCCAGCCUCCUUGCUGACCUUGCCUGAAGGUCCCUCCAUCAGCCCCCACAAGCAAAGAGCGGGUGCUGACAUUAAGCCUUGGAGGUUGUUUGAAAAGCUAAUCUUGCCUUAGAAGGCGCCGGGGCUGGUGUGAGAGGAGUCCUUGGACACCCGCAGACAGAAGAUCAUCUAGGGACACGGGAGAAGAUGGCCAGCUACAAGCCAAGGAGAGAGGCUUCUGAAGCAACCAACCCUGCAGACACGAUCUUGAACUUGUAAACCUCCACGACGGCGGCGACAUAAAUUUCAGUUGUUCAGGCCUCCCAGUCUGUGAUGCUUGUCAUGGUGGCCUUAGCCCACUAACACAGUCCCUGUCCCCAGAAUGUCCUGUCUGGUGCCCCAUCUUCUCAUGUCUCUCCACUCUGGGGUCUUCCCUCCCGGGCCACCAGCCCCGGCUUUCACAGUCUCUGAGACAGUUGCAAAUGCAAGACUGGUCAGGACGUUUCUUGAACUGCAGGUGUGCUGGAACCUUCUGGGGAAUGGAGCACAAUGAGCGUGAGCAGGGGGGCUCCGGAGCGCUUCCUGAGAAGGUGUGGUGAGGGUGAGCUCCCCGUGCCCUUUCAUAAAUGGUUCAGCAUAAGCUAACGGCAGCAAGAACCUUCCCUGCAGCCUGCUAGGCGGCCCACAUGCCCAGCAGCAGCAUCCAUUGAAAUAUGACUUUGGGGUUCCUCUCCCUACAUAACUGCCUUCAUCCCCUUUCCAGCGCAACGCCUUGCUUGUACGUCCCAGCCUUGGGAAUUGGUGGAAUAUAGAAUGGCCUGUCCGCGAAAGGCCUCAGCAAGUGCAAGCUGGCCCCGAUUCCCAAGGAAUAACAAUAAAACUAGCACACAGACCCCGUCUCCCAGCUUCGCAUUCCUUCUUUGGCAGAAUGGAGAGGGAAGACCUUUGAGAAGCAGCGAUCCGGGGUGAUCUCCACCCCUCACCCAUUAGUACCAUGCUCACAGCAUCAGGGAGCCCCCGUGACGAGUAUGUGUGAGCGGUAAGAGGACGCCAGUCUGUAGGAUGGGAGCCGUGGACGCUGGCCCGCAGGGGCCCCAUGUGUAAAUGGGAGGAGAGGGCACAUUGUUAGAGAAGGGAAAAAAAUCUACCUACCCCUGGCCUGCUCAUGCCAGGCAGGCUGUCUAGACCCGCGGCCCCAGGCUCUGUCUCCCAACUCUGGACUCUCCUGCCAGUUCUGGGGCCAUUGCUGCUGGUGGGGGUGGUCCCGGGCCAGCCUGUUGGCUCCAGUUCUGGCCUCGGCAGGGGUCUGGUGCAUCACCCACCCUCACCGUACCAAGCUCUGCUGAGAGCAGUGUGCCAGACAUCUACCCAAUGUCUAGUUUCCCCUUCUUCCUACCAGCGGGACCCUGACUGGGGUUGGGGGAUAGCCAUGUGCCCAGGUAAAAUGCUUCCUUGGAUCCUUUGUAGUUAGUGGUGGCCACGUUGACCCAGUUCUGCCCGAUGGAAUAAGAGGGAAGUCGGCGGGGAGAUAUUAAAAAAAGAAAUGACUCAUCUGGCAUGUUCAUCAGCCCUUGACCUCUGACUGCUGACUUCACCCUAUCCCUUUUUGCCUUCCUAGAAGACAGAUUGGAUGCCUGGAGGCUCAGCAGCCAUCUUCCACCCAUGAGGAGAGAAGUCAGUUCUCUGCAGCUGAACACGGUCCUCACUGAGACACAGCUCUUCCUAUGCAAAGUCUGGUAGCUCCUUCUGAAAUCUCAGCACCUACCCCAGCCCCAGAGCAGCCUGGCCCAUGGAUGGUUGGGCCUCUUCCCUGACCCCACCGCACGGAGGUGAUGGCCCGAAGGUAUGGGAUCGCAGGUUUAGAGAAGAAUUGAUCACCUUCCAGGACACCACUCUGUUCACCUUCAUUGUGUUGACUGUGUGAUGUCUGCGCCUUUCUCCCCACCCCCAGGAUGAAGCCCCACACAGAUAAGGGUCUGGGUCUGCUUUGUUCCUUAAUGCCUUUCUAAAAGCCUGGAAGCAUUUCUGGCAUAGAGAAAGCAUUUGCUGACUGGAAUUAAUAGCUAUGUGUCCUAAGCACCAGCUGUUCUGGGCUGACUUGUGUCCCCCCCAGUUUCCAUGUUGAAGUCCUAACCCCAGGACCUCCGAAUGUGAACCGUAUUUUGAUAUGGGUCUUUGGAGAGGUAGUUAAGUUAAAAGGAGGUCAGUAGGGUGGACCCGGAUCCAAUAUGACUGGUGUCCUCGUAAGAAGAACUGAUUAGGGACCCAGAAUGCAGAGAAGGAAGACGAUGUGAAGACACAACAGGAAGAUGCCCAACCACGAGCCCAGGAGAGAAGCCUUAGAAGAAACCAUCCGUGCUGACAUCCUGAUCUCGGACUCCCAGCCUCAGAAUCAUGAGACAUAAAUCUCUGUAGUUUAGGCCACCCACCACGUCCGUGGUCCUUUGCUAUGGUGGCCCUAGCACACAGAUACAGCAGCCAUACCUGACACAGUUUGGAGGGGUUUGUACGUGUUGUCUCAUUUGAUCUGAACCACGAUCUGAAGAGAUAGUACCUACUUUGCAGAUGCAGAAACUAAGGCCAGGAAAUGUUGAUGCGGGGGCCUGAGGAGGCCUACGUGUUGGGGUGCUGGGCCUCAUGGGGCUGGGGUGGGGGAGCCCGGGUUGCUGACCCAACAAGGGCCCCUCCUUAUCUGGAGUUCUGUGGGCAAUCAGGCCAGUCGUCCCUCUGCCCCACUCCCAAACACACCUCGAAACAGGCCCGUGCUAGCCCCUCACACCCCAACCUGCUCUACAGGUUUUUUUAAAUAUUUACUUUUUUUAAAUAAUUUUUUAAUUUUUUUAAUAGUUAUUUUUUUUAGUUUUGAAAGACAGAGACAGAGACAGAGCGUGAGCAGGGGAGGGGCUGAGAGCGAGGGAGACACAAAAUCCAAAGCAGUUUCCAGACUUCACGCUGCCAGCAUAGAUCCCGACGUGGGGCUUGAACCCAAGAACCGUGAGAUCAUGACCUGAGCCGAAGCCAGUCGCUCAAGCCACUGAGCCACCCAGGCGCCCUGCUCCCAGCAGCUGUGUGCAGAGUCCUGCGAUCUGAGACGCUGCCUGACGCUCUAUGGGGCAGUUUCAACGCUGAGGCCAACGGAGGGAGGAGAAAUAAGACAGCUUUGGGGACAGUGACCCUCAAAGCAGUUAUUGCUGAUGUGCUGACCUGCAGGUCUGCGCAGAGAGCCAGGUUCUCCAUGAGGAGGGUGUGGGGAGCCCACGACUCUUUAGCUGCCACUCUUAGCCGGGACAACAGCAGUGGCUCACGUUAAUUGAGGUCCUGGCAGGUGCCAAGCCCCGUGUUAAGUGCAUGAUACAGAGUUUCUCAUUCAGUCAUCUGAGCAGCACUGCAAGAUGGUCACUGAUAUUAUCACCAUUUGACAGCUCGGGAAACUGAGGCUCAGAGAGCUCAAGUAAAUUGACCCCUCAGCUAGGAGGGGUCAGCACUCAGCACUCCAGUGCUGGUUCUCUUCACCAGCAACUCACAUCAGCUGUAUACCCUGCCGUGUGCUUUCUCAGGCUGUAGUUGGUUGGAAAUGUUCCCCCAAACCCCUUGCACUGGGCAGAGAAUUAGGAAGGAAGUUUGUGGGGGGGAGAGGACAGAAACUCUGCCAACCCAUGUGACACAGAUCCGAGCUGCUGAGCGUGUGGCUGGUAACCUCUCCUGCUCGCUCCCGCCUCCCCGCCAACGACCUCCAUCGGGGAGCUGAGGCCAUCCCCUCUGGGUGAAUCCCCCUUCAAGGCCACCCUGUGCUCAUCUCAGCCAGGGUCAUGGGGAAGGCAGAGGUGGCCCCUGCCACCCGCUCGUUGUCAUCGGUGGCUGGUUGCGAAACACCCUGGCCAGUCCAUGGCAGCAAAGGGGGAAGGAAUUCCCUUGGAUAGUUCCCUGGAUAAUUCCAGCCCCUUCCUAGGGGUACAGGGACAGCCUGGGGACAGUCUGAAGUGAGUACCCGGUGGUGAACCGCCUGUGCUCUGUGACAGUGUGGGGCUGAUUCCCUUUGUGCUAAAAGAGUCCCGAGGAGGGGCCAUCUGGGGCUUUGACCGUCUGCCGUGUAAGCUUGGCUUUGGACUUCACAGCCUGGGGCACUGUGGGUCGGAACCUCGGUGCAGGUGAAACAGGGCAGUCUCUUCUCUACUCCUUCCGGAGGGCGGCUGCCGGUGACCUAGCCGUCUCCCCCAAGAGUGGGUGUGGCCCAGUCUGGUGGGGGUGGUGUGCCCCCCACGUCGGAUGUGCCUCUCUGUUAGGGGUUUGGGUCUCGGGUGCGUGUGCCCAGGAGCAUGACCCUUGCCUGCUCGUGGGCCCGCCCCUGUCACCAGACCCCAGGCGGCCUACAGGAAGGUGUUUGGCAUGGGAAGAGGGCAGUGAUGUCCAUGGGCCCAGGGCAAGAGGCAGGAGGACUGGAUGGCCUUGGUGGGAAGCCAAAGUGCAUGACAAGGCUGCAUAGGGCCACGCCUCCUCGCCCGAGUCUGAGGAAGUGGCAAGGCCCCAGCUCCAGGUGCCCGAAAGCCACAGCAGGGCAAAGGCCAAGGGCUUGCACAUCCGGGGCCUCUCAAGCUGCCGGCUGCAGGGAGGGGCUGGGCUGGGCACCAGCUGAUGGAGGAGAGCCUCGAGGGAGGGGGUAUUCCUGUACGUCCUGGUGGGGCUCUCUUGGCAGGGCUCCCCCUUCCCGACCGCACUUAUCCUGCCCUGCAGGCUGCCUUCUGGGCUCUUCUUUAGAAGAAGUGGCGUAACUGUCAUCCUUUCCGACCCUCCCCUCCCCAUAACCUGCAACCCCUCCAAACCCUUAUCUUCACUAUCAGAUGCUCAGCACCCUGCUUCUCAUUUCCUGGAUGACUCUGUGGUUCUAGAAAUUCAGAGCCACUGUGUUCUGAGAAGGUGCUUUCUGUCGCCCCUGGGAAGCGGGCAACACGGGCUUCAUGACUCCACGGGUCGCCCGUGGCUGCUUACAGCAGAAAUGGUGGGAGGAGAGGCCCCGGGGCCUGGGCUAGGGCUGGCUCAACAGGCCAAGUUCUUGACGUGGCUGCAGGCGCUUCGCAGGGACAGCUGGGCCGGCAGGCCUCACAGGGGGAGCGGGAAAGUUCAGGGAGGGAGCGCUGGUGUCUUCCUGGUUGAGGGUAGGGAGCAGGAGCAGGUGGGAGGCAGCGGAGGCCAGGCUAAAGAUGCUGGGGAUACACCGGGCAGGGUAGAGCCAUUGUCAGUGGGAGCAGAGGGCCAGGCAGUUUCCCAAGGCAGGGACUAUCUAUCCCAGGGACUGUGGUCACCGGGGCUGUGGAAGAGGGUCCCCGGGGCCUACCUGAGACGGCUGGGUAAGGCCUGCUCAGCCCAGGUGCUGUUUGCUCCACGGAAAGGCUGUUGGGGUCACCGGGGGCCUAGGAGGAGGCACGUGAGGCCCUCUCUGUGGGUAGGUGUUCAGGUCAGGAUGGGGUCAGAGACAGGAGGACGAGGAACUUUCUUCUGGAAGAGUGCAUUGCUGCUGCAGGGGGCCUGAGGCUGUGGUGGCAUCUCCCCCCAGGAGGGGGCUGGUGGCCAGAGGAGGGAUGACCAGUAUGUGCCAUCCGGUCCCUUUGGGGCUGUGGCAGAGACCUGCGGUUUGGACACGAUAACCACUGAGGGGUCAACUGCCCCAGUUUGGGGAGCAGAGGCUACCACAGCUCCCUUUUGGGGACCCCCUACUCAGCCAAAGGACUAGUUUCUUCCCUUCAUGCAGUAGGUCCUUCCAGGUGCCCACGAAGAACCUGACGUGCACAGGGCACCGUGAGAGAGAAAGGUGAACGAGGCAGAGCCCUGUUUCCAGCCCUGAGGAGAAGCAAAAAGGCCCAUGUGCCCAAAGAUGUCUUUUUUUAAAAUCUUUUUUUAUUUUUAAGACUCAGAGCGUGGGCUCCGGAGUGAGACCGUCGCGGUGGUCUGGGGUGCAGAGCAAGUGACACUGCACUCGGCCCUGAGGGCUGUAUGGGCCACAGACAGAAGGACGACGGGGCAAGGAUGGUGGGAGGGGCACGGGAUGGCCCGAGGAGUCGCGGUGCAAACGGCAACCGCCAGUAGUGACUAGGGAUCCGUAAUCGUAGCCCCGGUCGCUAUGGGCGUAAACCAGAUGUGCCAAAGCGCUGGCUCCGGGCUUGGGAAAUGGUAGCUGUUAAUCCUACAGAAGUUGGCUCCCAGCAAACUGAAAGGCAGAGGUGUGAGUACGAGCCACCCCUUCUUUGCCCCCACGGGCGGGGCUGGGCCCCGGGUGGACCCAGCCCUCUGGAGCUCAGCCCUCCGGGGCUGAGAGCCUGGGGGAUGGCAGGACAGCCCCACGCCUUACACAUGCUGCCCGCACUGCUUGGGACAGCACCGUGUGGGCCCCUCCACAGCGGAUUAAGAUGUCCUUUCACCUUGGUCUGGCCAUUUCCACUGGGGAGAAUAGCAGGGUCAAGGUCCUUUGCAACUCGGGGAGAUGCCUUCACUGCCCUGGAGCGGGAUCUGGGUGUCCUUGCGUGACUCCGAGGGCCCAACUGCGGUUCUGAGGCACUUUGGGGUGUGUUCCAGAACGCAGAUGAGAAAAGCCCACCCCAACCCCACCCACAGAAGCCAGGGCAUCAUUUGGAUGACUGUCUGUGCCUCAGAACCUGCUCCCUGUUCUGAGAUGUGGCCCUGUCACCUACCCAGGUUCUGAUCUUUCCACCCCCUCUCUGACUCCUCUCCCACAUGUACCCCACUGACUCUGACUGUCUCGUCCAACCCUCUCAGACUCUCUCAAAUCUUCCCUCCUCUCCUCCCCGAGGCCCUGUCUUCUCCUGCCUGUUAUUACAUUAGCCUCUCAAUGUCUGGCUCCCCUCCAGACUCUCCCUUUCCGGGCCAUUCUCCAAAGACCAAACCCCACACCAGAAUUCCCCUUAAUGACACUCAAUAACCUUCUAGAUAAAACCCCAGUUCCUCAGCAAACCAGGCUCUCUGUGACAGGGUCCCUCUUUUUCCCACCUGCCUACCUCUUGGACUUUUGGGUCCAGGCCCAUUGAGGUCUCCACCUGAAGCCCCUGGCCCUUGCUUUCUCGGAACUCCCAUACCUUUGUACCUGCUCCCUCUGCCCGGAACACCCAUGCAUCUCAAGCUAACUCCUACUCAAUAUUUACAUCUCUGGUUUACUUUUGUUUAUUUUCUUUUAAACUGGAAAUGUCUAUCGUUUGCUGGCUAUCAGUGUGACCCAGGAUCGCUCUGCUCAGGGGUCACCGCCUUGACAUUCUUUACUCCCCACCUGGGUGCUCUUCACGUGGGUGCCCUGGUGCUGUGAAGAACACACAGGUAGCAUGCGUGAGACUUUUCGUUCUCCAGUUUCUCCUGUUUUAUCCUCCCCAGCAGUUUCUGAGUUGUAUUAGGUGCCGAAUAAAGACAUUGAUUAAAACAUCUAACUUACAGAGCGGCAAAUUCUAUUUCAAAGCUAUAGAUCCAAGGGUACGAAUUUAAAGCUGAGUUUAAUUAUCCCACCAUUCAACUCUGUCUUCAGCCCCCUUUCUGGUUCAUGGCAGAGACGUUAGCCAAUUCCAGAGACCCACCACUUCUGUGACUCUCCUCCCUCACAGUCCAAUUAUGCUCGAUUUAUUUCAUUUCCCCUUCUUCGCUUCUGUAGCAGGAUCCAUGUGGGAUUGCGUCUGUGACAUGUCCAGACGUGGGGGCGAAGAGGUGGGUCAUUGGGAGGCAUUCUGAAGCCUUGCUGGCAUCAGCCCCGUUCUCUGUUUGCAGUUGGCAUCUGUCCCUCAGCCUCUGCUGAGCUGAAUUCUCAGCACGUUACAGAAGACGGAAGGGGACAACCAUUGAGUGCAGGGUCUAGUGGCUUCAUUCGCUUCAAAGAGCCCUUUCCUCCUGCAAAUCCCAAACCUCAAGACCCUACCCUGAGAAAACAGCACCUUAGAGAAGGAGGUGGGUGAGCAGGUGUCCACCUGCUCACCCACCUCCUUCCUCAAAAGUGGGGAGGGACCCGAAGAGAGGACAGAUGUGGAGAAGGUGCCCCUUUAUCUGGUAGAGCACACUUAUGAGUCAAAAAACCCUGUGGGGUCCAGGUUGGUGGUAGGAAGUCCUAAGCACAUUGCUUUGCAUAACGAAGGAGGGAGGAAUAUCUUUGGAGCUGGAGUUGAGGGUGGGGUUCUGGGCAUCAGCAAAGGGGGUGAGUGGGAUGAGUAGAGUGACUGCUGGCAGAAUGGUCAAGGGACCAUUCUUUGUCACUUCCAUGGGAUGGGCCCCAUCUGUCUCCCCAAACUUUCAUAAAGUAGGCUGCACAAACUGAGGGGUUCACCUUUGCAAAGGAAAGGAGGUUCUUUCCAUCCCAUGUUCAAACUCCCUUCCACCCACUUGCCCUUGGAGAGGCCCCCGGGGGAGGCAACCAUAUUUACCCAGAGCCUGCCAUCUUGAUGUGCCCAGCAGCAAGGAGUUCAGUGCCCGGCAUGGCAGACAGUAUUGAAAAGGGUCACCUUUUGGCAGUAGGGUCCCUUGGACAGACUUGGGGCAUGGAGGAAUCAAUCCCCAACCCUCCUCUAUGAACGCAUUUGGCGAUCUUCAUGCCAAUGGUCUGUAAAAGAAAAAAUGUCCCCAAACUGCAAGGGGACAGAACUUUUUUGCGUGUGAUGAAGUUAGCAAUUUUCUUCUGGGAAGAACUCAGCAUUCCUGAUGAAAUGCACGAGCAGAUUUCUGAUGAACUUCAAUGGAACGAAACCAGUGCCCUGCCCACCCAGUUGCCUUGAAGAAGGAAGGGGGCAGCGGAUAUGCCUGCAUAUAACAGAGACAUGGAAAUAGCUCUUUCCCAGCUCCUCCCCCGAAGAGAGGCUGUCACGCAAACAAAUGCCCUAAAAUAACAAUAAAAUAUGCGGUAGAGCGUCCCCUGGAGUCUGAAUGGACUCAGACAGAAACAAGCCCACGGCCACUGUGUGCCGAGAUGGGUCGUGGGUGGGAGCACCGCCCACUGGGGGAUGACGGAGCUGUGCAUCAUGAAUGGGAUCCUCUGUUUCUUUGUCCAGAGGAGGGUCGUGGCCCCGCCUCCGUUCCUUGAAGGCUGGGAUGAUCAAAUAAUCCCCAAGGAUUAGGUGGGGACAUACCUGGAAAAGAGGAAGGCAGCUCGUAAAUCAGGGAUUUAUUAUGAUUACCAUCUGAUUCAGAGAUAAUCUGCCUCACGCCAGUGAAGUUCAAGAUGCAGGUUCUAUGCUGUUCUUCCUAAAAUAGGCCUUCUUUUCGGCGGCGUGCAAUUCCCCAACCACCCACCUUCGCCCCGUGCAUUUUCUCUUUGCUUGCUCCAGCCUCGAAGCCUCUGAAGUGCAUGGCUUCCUUCCUCCCUGCGACAGCUUCCUGACUCUCUUCUGAGGCCUCCCACGCAGGCUCCCCAACAUACAGACCGGCCCAGCCCCUCCCCAGCAGGCCCCCGCUGCUUGUUUUCAGCAAAGCCAAGGCCACCCGAGCCGGUGUUGGGAGAACAGGGCUACUCACCUUCCCAGCCCACAGCGGCCCCUGCCCAGCUUCUGCCCACCCCUAGCCCAGGCCCGGCGAGGUCUGCCUCUUUGCUGAUUAUGAGAUAGCUCAUGUCUGUUAGGUCUGCCUGAAUAAGCUCUUUUGUCCCAGAGAAUUUUCCCAUGUCAAACAUUUAGUCUGUUGUGUUAUGGGUCAGUGAGCAAGGAGAUAAGUCUGAAUUCUUAAACAACCUUGUGAACGCAAGACAUCUGUCUGAAAGGCAAUCAAACAACAUCUGUCACGCUGUCCCUAGCUUUCAAGACACUCAAAAAAGCAAAUCAUUAUUUUAUGUCUUUGUUCUUAGAGAAAUACAUUUCAUUUAUUUAUUUAUUUCAUUUGAAGCUCAAAUCUUCCUUUUCUUUUUUC